CCUACGGGUGGCAGCAGUGAGGAAUAUUGGUCAAUGGACGCAAGUCUGAACCAGCCAUGCCGCGUGCAGGAUGACGGCUCUAUGAGUUGUAAACUUCUUUUGUGCGGGAGCAAUAAUGGUCACGUGUGGCCAGACGAGAGUACCGUACGAAUAAGCAUCGGCUAACUCCGUGCCAGCAGCCGCGGUAAUACGGGGGAUGCAAGCGUUAUCCGGAUUUAUUGGGUUUAAAGGGUGCGUAGGCUGUGAGGUAAGUCAGCGGUGAAAUGCCCCCGCUCAACGGGGUGAAGUGCCAUUGAUACUGCCUUGCUGGAAUGCGGAUGCCGUGGGAGGAAUGUGUGGUGGAGCGGUGAAAUGCAUAGAUAUCACACAGAACACCGAUUGCGAAGGCAUCUCACGAAUCCGCGAUUGACGCUGAUGCACGAAAGCGUGGGUAUCAAACAGGAUUAGAUACCCUAGUAGUC
rnacentral:rRNA from 1 species